rnacentral:lncRNA from 1 species
ACCUAACUCCUACAUUGACACAAGAGGGACUUUACCUCCUCUAAACACCAACGUAUCAAGUCAACAAUGCAGCAAGAGUGAUUCCACACUCUAGUUUCGGCCAAAGGCCCCUAGUUUUGGGUUUUGCCUCAAAGGAGAGAGGACUUGUGUUCCAUGUCUUUCAAGACUUACAAAAUAUCAUCAAUAAUUAGUGAAUGAAACCCUAAAAGGUUCUAUUUAUAGCCACUGCAAAAAUAGAAGUUAAAAUGUCCAAAAUGCCUCUCUCGAGAUAGGCACCCUUCAAGUGUAAUGUAGGGGCUGUCUUGUUGUGUUCCAAGGCUCCUCUUUACACUUAAAGUGUGAGAUUAAGGUCGGGUUGAUGUGCUUUAAGUCCUUCUCUUGCACAUUCAAAGUCUCAGGUUCAUUACGCUCUCACAUACACCCAUCUUCAUGGUCGUACUUGUAUCAUCCUACCCUUCUUGAAAAGGAUUCGACCUCGAAUCCAUGACUUGUAAAAUCAAGAGAAGACAAACAAGCACACAUCCUCAUUACAUGAGGGUUAGGGUUAGCAAAAUACACAUAUCAACAUACCAUGCCGAGGUGGAACAAACUUGAACUAUAGCCACGGGUCCUUUGUUUUAACCAUGAAAAGAUUAGUACGAAUGUUACAAAGGAAGUGUCCCAGACAAGACAAAAGAAAAAUAGGCCAAGAGUAAUCCUUUCCCACCCUAAAAUGGUACCGGGAUCAAAGGGGUGGAGUAACCAAGGACUUAGAUCUCAACCACUUUCACUUUCCCCUAAGGUUCCAUCCUCAAAAUUAGGUAUACCCUCUAUAUCCCUAUGGAAAAUAUCAUGAGCACAAAGAGGGUAGAGAAAGGUAGAACAUGAGUCAACUCCAACUAUGGUGUGCUCAUGCAAGUACUUACUAAUUUCAAGUUCAUUGUCAUUAGUAUGCUCAACAUAAAAAAUACACAAAGAAGGAGUAGAUAGCAUUUCAAGGCAUGCAACACUUUCUCUUUCAAAAGAGUAGUCCCUACAUAUAUAAAAACCAUCACGGAAAGAUAAAGAACUACAAUUCAAAACAUCUUCACAAGGACAAUCAUAACUCGGGUUUUCUACACAUUCAAGCAAAUCAAGAUCAUCGUCACCCGGUUGAUCAUUUUGCACACCCUCACUAGUUGUUGGUAACUCACAUAUCAAAUUAGACUUACCUUGGAUUUCACAAGGGUCAACUAGUGUGUGAAGAAGAAUACUCUCGUCACUUGGUAAUGGAAUCUUAGUCAAGUGAUAAGUGCUAGCACUAGAUGGACACAAAUCAUUCUCACGAGGAGAAUCAAUUUCAUCAUCUAAAGGAUCAGCUAGUGCUUGCAUACCUACAACAAGAGUUUGGUCCUCAUGCGACCUAACAAUACCAAGAGUAUCACAAAAGGAAGACUCAAGCACCUCUACAUUAGGUAAAACCGCAUCUAUACCCAUUUGGCUACCAUUAGCCAUAACACAAUAUUCUAAGUUCAUAGGAGUGUAGAGGAUAGCAUUUUUACCUUGUAGCUCACAUGAGAUACAACCUUCCUCUUGACGUGUCUUCGAGCAGCCCUCUUGCUCCCUUUGACCUACGCUACGAUCCAACCUUUCAUUUAUCAUAGCCAAGUCUCGAGAGAUAGUGUCAAGGAGUGCAAAAAUGGCAUUGGUGACCUGAUUGUCCAUGGGUUGAGAGGUUGAAGCCUCGGGUUCCAUUGUAAUUGUACCUAAAACAAAACAAACUUACAAAACAAUAGAAAGAAAAGAAAAUAAUUAGUUCACAAAAUCCUCACCACACUCUCACACACUUUGAUCGUCUUACACUUGGUUUCAUAAGUGUUGCAAGUCGCCUUAUAGUUCGUGGUGAGUCGAGGAGUGAUUCUACUCCUUCAUUGAAAUAGAUUUUCAUUUGAGUUGGAUCAAAGAAAAUUUGUUUACGAACUGGAACCAAUAAGAUACAACGUAUUCACAAAAGAGAAAAGCACACAACAAACGGUUAACACGAAUGAACGAAUACAAAGACUAACUAACAAUCUAGUAGAUGAGUACGAGUUUGUCAAUAAGUAUUGGAAUCAGCGAAACUAAAACUAAGGAACAACAAAUGGAAAAUAUAAAAUCUGAAAUUUGAGCAAAAAGUUGAUGCGUGAACAGUAACUUGAUGAUGUGGCAGCCACGUAUUGGUUGUGGUCUUUCUAACGAAUUGUUAUUCUCAAAUGUUCAUGUCUUGGUCAAAAAUUUAAUUUGGAUUGGUGGAAUUUUAUUUCAGGAAGGCAAAUAUUAGUCUCGGAGCCUUUUUCAAUUUUUAAUUUUCAAGACUUGACUUUUUCUUGUACUUCUCCUUAAAACAUGGAUCAUUAAAUCAUGAAAAAUUGUUGGAAAGUGAUUGAGACUUGAUUGAUAGGUCUUUGUUGGUUGUAGUGUCUUUCAAGACUAACAAAUAGUACACCCUUUUCCUUUAACUUUUUAGAUUUAUCAUUCACUUUAUCUUCAACAAUAUAUGAAGGAUGUUAUGAAUAUCAAGAACACAACAACAACACCAAGAACUACAACAAUAAUCUCCAAGAACACCAACAAAUUUCACAUGGCCAACCCCACAAUAAAAAUGUCUCACACGGCCAAGACUAGAACACUUCAAGAAAAUGUUCUUAGGCCACCAAUUUAUAACAAUAUUCACUUACAGGCUUAAGAACAACAACUUCAACGUCCAAAACAAUCAAUAAUGUCACCAAUACACGGCCAAAGGUGAAGCCACAACAACAAUGCCAAUACAAUUGGCCAAGUUUUAUUCAAAAUAACAAGAUCAACAUUUCAAGCUCAAAUUUAAAUUUAGACUCAAGGGUGUUAGCUAUGAAGAAAACUAACACUAGAAACAACAAAACAAGUAAAAAUGUCAACCAAGACUCAACAAUAACACAAUUUCGGCCAAGAACACAAACACGGACAAAUUUGCUUCUUUUUGAUUUUUCAGUUUUUUAACACCUUUUUUUUUAAAAAAUUUUCCAACAAACAAGCCCAAGAUUGAUCUUGUAGGAACAAGGUCACACACUCUCUGAUACCAAAUGAUACGAUACAAACUUGGAACACGCAAAUAUACACUCCAAAUAGUCCACAAAAUCAAAACAACCCAUAGACCAAAUGGAGACCACACUCGGAUUCAAGAAUACAAUGCAAGAAUGAAAAUAUAUCUACGUGUUUGACAACUUUUUGCAGCCAACCCAAACUAAGUUAACAACAAUAAGAUGAAGAACACAAGAUGAACAACAAUAUUAUAAGAACAACAAACACACGGCUACAAGAACACAAGAACAACACUACACGAUUGCAAUAAAACAAAUGGGAUAGAUAGUUAGACCAGUGAUGGUAUAAUCUUAAGAACCCAAGAAUUUGGUGGACUCUUUAACUCUUAACACUACAGACAACAAACACCUAACUCUUACAUUGAUAUAAGAGGGACUUUACCUCCUCUAAACACCAACGUAUCAAGCCAACAAUGCAACAAGAGUGAUUCCACACUCUAGUUUUAGCCAAAGGCCCCUAGUUUUGGGUUUUGCCUCAAAGGAGAGAAGACUUGUGUUCCGUGUCUUUCAAAACUUACCAUCAUAGACCUCAUUGAAAAUCACAAAUAUGGGUCACACCGCAAAACUUUCAGGGUCGAAUCAACAAAAUUCAGGUCACAACUCUGACAAUCUCCACCUUGACACAAAUUUUAAUUCAGAACUCAAAUCCAUUUUUAGACAAACUCUCCACCUAUUCCACAAAAGCCCCUAAGGGCACAUCUUAACAGCUAACAUUAACCAAGUCCAAGCAAUGCUCAAACAUGGCACUUGGUAGUGUCUUGGUCAUUAUAUCAGUAGGAUUAUCAUGAGUACUAAUCUUGCUCACCGCAAUAUCACCACAAUCAAUAAUUUCACGUAUAAAAUGAUACCAAACAUCUAUCUUCUUUGUCCUCUCAUGAAACAUCUGAUCUUUCGUAAGGAAGAUAGCACUCUGGCUGUCGCAAAAGACUGUAGUAAUCUUUAAGUAUCACGACCUGAACCGAGAUCCUAGCCGCGAUGGGUAUCCUAAACUAUGAAGGACCAAAAACCCCUCUAACUAAAAUCAUGUGCAGAAUUCAUAUACUAUAAAGAUGCGGAAAUACAAAACGGAAUCAUGGUCAUUUGAUUUCAACAAAAUCAUACAGUUAUAAUUUCAACAAAACCCAAAUCCAUCUAACAGCUAUCUGCGAAAUCUGUACUAACUGAAAGAAAGCAACAUCAGUUGGAAGGCCGGGAGAAGGCCCCCGUUCAGAAUAUGAACUAAAAACAAUGAAAUCAUAAGAUAAGUCCUUCUGAAACAAGGGAGGCUCACCAAUCACCAAUUUUUUAUUUGGUUUUCGACUCUGAUUCAUCGACUAUGGGUUUUUUUCUCUUGAAAGUUUUCAAUACUUCUUUGGCUUUUUGCUUCCUACUGGUAGAAGCAGUGGAAGUAGGCCUUUUAACUACUCUAUGAACUCUUCUCACCAUCUAUGAUCUACAGUAAAAAAAUGAAUCUAUAGUGGUCGAUUUAUCGACCACUGGUCUAUAAAUAAAAACGAACAAAAGCAGCAAAAAUAAAUCUGUAGUGGUCGAUCUAUCGACCACUGGUCUAUUAAGAAAAAAGAAAAAACGCCUCACAUCAAACAUAAAAAUUAUGUUCCAACUUCACCAGACAUUGGCAGUGCAAUUCACAACAACAAGAACACCAUUAAAAUGGGUCCAAUUCAGUACAAAAAAUUUAAAAUUAAUACACAAUAUAACUACAAGAAUUUAAAAAAUUCCUACUUAUUAUCCAAAGAAAAAUACGAUUAAACAUCCGAAAUCGACAUUGUUAAUUAAAAGCACUCAAAUUUUGACUAAUUCAACAAAAAAUAAUGCAAUUUUUGUCAAAAACGAAGAACCCCAACCCAUAGCGUCAUCAAAAAAAUUACUAAAAUUGAUCUAAAACUAAUCGGAUAAGAAAAUUAGACUUACCUGAGCAAGAGAAACUAAAAAAAUUCGCCUGAGGAAGCAAGAAUCGAGUAAAUUUUUUUUUUCGAAAAAAUAGGAACCAAAAUCAGGAGAAGAAAGGUUUUGAAGAGAGAGAAAUGUAGUAGAAAAUAUUAAGUGAUUUUAAUAAAUGUUUUGGAAAUGAAUAAAUAUAAAAAGGGACCAUGUUGUAUUUUUUAAAAAAUUGUAUUUUUUUCCCAAGUUUUAAAAAUGUUGAAGGAACCCAUGACCCCACAACCCGGGCCCACCUUUUACCUUUUUCAAGACCUAAUCCUAAAAAAUAAAUCAAAAAGAAAUUUGGUGUCGAACCGUCAAAAUAAGUUUUGAAAAUGGAUAGUUAUCAAAAUUGUCUCAAAAAAAUAUGAUUUUAAAGGCAUGAGAGGUGCCUUAAUUAGUUUAUCGUGAUGAGACAUAUUGCCUUUGAAUUUGUACUCUAUUUCUGUUGAUUCAAUUUAUGAAGCUGUAAGAUUAAUUUUUAUGCUAAUUUAAAAUUGAAAAUUAUGAAUUUUAUUUUAUUUACUGCUUAGUAGUUCCAAUUUCUUAGUUAUAACUUAUAAAGAUAAAAUAAUUAUGUGGAUAAUGUAAUGUUUAACUUGCUUAUAGCCAAGUGAAAAGAGAUUGCUUACUUACUCCUAUUUUUUCUCUUGUCAAAGGGCACACAAGCGCCAUGAUAUUAGAUUUAGAAAACAACAACAAUAAAAAACCCAGUGUAUUCCCACAUAGUGGGAUCUGGGGAGGGUAAGAUGUAUGCCGUCCAUACCACUACUUUCAGAGAAGUGUAAAAAGUUAAAAUAUAAAUUUAUGUGUAAAAUUUACAGAAUCUUAACAAAUGGUAAAUUUAAAUUUAUAAUUUUAAAAAUAUAAUAAUUUUAAUGCUAAAAACCUUAAAACUUAAACUCAAAUAAUUUUAAAUCUUAAAUCUAUCUCUUCUUAUUGUUUGACGUCUAGCCCUCUUGACUUGUUUUGUCAUAAAAGCUACAGUUGAGGAUAGAUUAUAUUUUUCUUUAAAAAGGUUGCCAAUCUUGUCAAGGUAAAAUAUUUAUUCGGAACUUAUUUUAUGAAAUUAACCUUAUUAAAUAUACUUUGAACAUUUGAAUAUGACUAUUGAUAUUUUAUAUAGUUAUUUAAAGAUAGGAUUGUAUUGGAAGAACUGAUAAACUUUCUCUUGAUUUUAUAAUUGGACUAGUAAGUUGAAACAACUAAUUUUUGUAAGGGGACCAAAUAAAAUGGAACGAAGAGAGUAUUUCACCUUGAAGAUAGCAUAAGAUUAUAUAUUUUUUUUUUUGGUGUUAAUUUGUCUGUUACUUUUCUUUUAAUCCUUUGAAAAAGAAUAUUUUUUUUGGAAACUUUUUACUUCUAACUUUUCACAUAACAUGUUUAGGAUCACACAAUUAAAAAACAUUUGGGUACAUUUCACAAAUAAUUUCUUUUUUAAAAAAAUUCAAUGUCAAGUCAAAGUUAAACAAAUAAACAAAAUCAAAGAUAUUAACAAGUUAAAUGAGCUAUCUAGAAUAAGAUUGACAUUAAAUUUAUGAGAUAUUCAGAAUUAAGAUUGGAAUAUAAUUAAAGAAUUUAUCAGACUAAAUUUAUAUCUUCACUCAAACAAAAUAUAAUAUUAAUACCAAACUUAAUCACGGUGUAUUAGAGGCAUACCAAACGACCCCUACUCCCUAUGCUCAAUAAUUAAUCCAAUAAACAGCCCAUUAUAGCAAUAAAUUAAAACUAACCCUAUUUUUUAUGGAUCCACUUUUUAUUACUCAAACUAGGCCAACUCUACAUUAUAUAUAGUAUUAUGGAUAACUUUUCUAAUUUCACAUACACACAAAAAAAAAAAACUAGCCGCCGUUGUCUUAUGCAGUACCAUUUUCUCCGUCCUUCUCUAUUUGGGCCUCUAUGUUGUUUUUUUCCAACAAAAAUGACAGCUUGUGGUAGGCCUUUUUCAUUUUUUUUUCUAUUUAUUUCAUUUACGUUUCUAUCCAUCUGUAUCUUUCUUUUUGUAUUCCUCAUUUUCUUCAAAAUUUCGUUUUAUAAUUUGAUUUCUCCUAAAUUCUCGUAAAAAAUCAACUUUUUUUUAAAAUAAAAUUUAAGAAAAUAAUAGUUAAAGAUGUAUAUGAGGUUAAAUAGUGUGGAGUUGCAGGUAGUAUCUAUAGUCGAUAGGCAAUUAUGAAAAUUUUUUUCUUCAAAAAAGAUUUAAUAUAAUUUUCUUUUAAGAACUGUGAUUGUUUUUAAGGGAUGUUAGAAUUUUUUUGAUAGGAGCCAUUUCGAUUUUCUAAAGAGUAGAAUGUUAGAUAAAUUAAAUGUUAGUAGGCCUAUAUUUAGUAUAACAAGUGUGUAAUUAACUUAUAAGAUAUACAUAAAAUUAUAAAUACAUUAUGUAGUGAUUAGUCAAAACAAAGGCAAACACUGAAGUUUGAGAGAUUUUGAGCAGUGCAAAUUUUUCUUUUAAAAGAAAGUAAAAGUCGGCCCGGCCCACUUGACACCCCUAGUAUAAUCUUAAGAACCCAAGACUUUUGUGGACUCUUGAAGCCUUAACACUACACACAACAAACACCUAACUCCUACAUUGACACAAGAGGGACUUUACCUCAUCUAAACACCAACGUAUUAAGUCAACAAUGCAACAAGAGUGAUUCCACACUCUAGUUUCGGCCAAAGGCCUCUAGUUUUGGGUUUUGCCUCAAAGGAGAGAGGACUUGUGUUCCAUGUCUUUCAAGACUUAUAAAAUAUAAUCAAUAAUUGGUUAAUAAAACCCUAAAAGGUUCUAUUUAUAGCCACCGCAAAUAUAGAAGCUAAAAUGUCCAAAAUGUCCCUCUCGAGAUAGGCG